GAGCCCGUUAAUGGGUGAUAGCGUGCCUUUUGUAGAAUGAACCGGCGAGUUACGAUUUGUUGCAAGGUUAAGCGGAAAAAGCGGAGCCGUAGCGAAAGCGAGUCUGAAUAGGGCGCAUAAGUAACAGGUCGUAGACCCGAAACCAGGUGAUCUACCCAUGUCCAGGAUGAAGGUAAGGUAAUACUUACUGGAGGUCCGAACCCACGCACGUUGAAAAGUGCGGGGAUGAGGUGUGGGUAGCGGAGAAAUUCCAAUCGAACUUGGAGAUAGCUGGUUCUCUCCGAAAUAGCUUUAGGGCUAGCCUCGAGGUAAAGAGUCAUGGAGGUAGAGCACUGUUUGGACUAGGGGCCCUUCUCGGGUUACCGAAUUCAGAUAAACUCCGAAUGCCAUGUACUUAUACUCGGGAGUCAGACUGCGAGUGAUAAGAUCCGUAGUCGAAAGGGAAACAGCCCAGACCACCAGUUAAGGUCCCCAAAUAUAUGUUAAGUGGAAAAGGAUGUGGGGUUGCUUAGACAACCAGGAUGUUGGCUUAGAAGCAGCCACCAUUGAAAGAGUGCGUAAUAGCUCACUGGUCGAGUGACCCCGCGCCGAAAAUGUACCGGGGCUAAACAUAUUACCGAAACUGUGGAUGAACCUCUUUAGAGGUUCGUGGUAGGAGAGCGUUCUAAGGGCGGUGAAGUCAGACCGGAAGGACUGGUGGAGCGCUUAGAAGUGAGAAUGCCGGUAUGAGUAGCGAAAGAAGGGUGAGAAUCCCUUCCACCGAAUAUCUAAGGUUUCCUGAGGAAGGCUCGUCCGCUCAGGGUUAGUCGGGACCUAAGCCGAGGCCGAUAGGCGUAGGCGAUGGACAACAGGUAGAGAUUCCUGUACCAGUGCUAAUUGUUUAACCGAUGGGGUGACACAGAAGGAUAGGGAAUCGCACGAAUGGAAAUGUGCGUCCAAGCAGUGAGUGUGAGAAGUAGGCAAAUCCGCUUCUCGCGAAGCAUGAGCUGUGAUGGGGAAGGAAAUUAAGUACGGAAGUUCCUGAUUUCACGCUGUCAAGAAAAGCCUCUAGGAAGAGUAGUACUGCCCGUACCGCAAACCGACACAGGUAGAUGAGGAGAGAAUCCUAAGGUGAGCGAGAGAACUCUCGUUAAGGAACUCGGCAAAAUGACCCCGUAACUUCGGGAGAAGGGGUGCUCUAUUAGGGUGCAAGCCCGAGAGAGCCGCAGUGAAUAGGCCCAGGCGACUGUUUAGCAAAAACACAGGUCUCUGCAAAACCGUAAGGUGACGUAUAGGGGCUGACGCCUGCCCGGUGCUGGAAGGUUAAGAGGAGUGCUUAGCUUCGGCGAAGGUACGAAUUGAAGCCCCAGUAAACGGCGGCCGUAACUAUAACGGUCCUAAGGUAGCGAAAUUCCUUGUCGGGUAAGUUCCGACCCGCACGAAAGGCGCAACGAUCUGGGCACUGUCUCAACGAGAGACUCGGUGAAAUUAUAGUACCUGUGAAGAUGCAGGUUACCCGCGACAGGACGGAAAGACCCCGUGGAGCUUUACUGCAACCUGAUAUGGAAUGUUUGUACCGCUUGUACAGGAUAGGUAGGAGCCGAAGAGACGUGUGCGCUAGCAUACGAGGAGGCAAUGGUGGGAUACUACCCUGGCUGUAUGACCAUUCUAACCCGCCACGCUUAGCGCGUGGGGAGACAGUGUCAGGUGGGCAGUUUGACUGGGGCGGUCGCCUCCUAAAGAGUAACGGAGGCGCCCAAAGGUUCCCUCAGAAUGGAUGGAAAUCAUUCGCAGAGUGUAAAGGCACAAGGGAGCUUGACUGCGAGACUGACAAGUCGAGCAGGGACGAAAGUCGGGCUUAGUGAUCCGGUGGUUCCGCAUGGAAGGGCCAUCGCUCAACGGAUAAAAGCUACCCCGGGGAUAACAGGCUUAUCUCCCCCAAGAGUCCACAUCGACGGGGAGGUUUGGCACCUCGAUGUCGGCUCGUCGCAUCCUGGGGCUGUAGUCGGUCCCAAGGGUUGGGCUGUUCGCCCAUUAAAGCGGCACGCGAGCUGGGUUCAGAACGUCGUGAGACAGUUCGGUCCCUAUCCGUCGCGGGCGCAGGAAAUUUGAGAGGAGCUGUCCUUAGUACGAGAGGACCGGGAUGGACACACCGCUGGUGUACCAGUUGUUCCGCCAGGAGCAUCGCUGGGUAGCUAUGUGUGGCAGGGAUAAACGCUGAAAGCAUCUAAGCGUGAAGCCCCCCUCAAGAUGAGAUUUCCCAUUUCUUCGGAAAGUAAGAUCCCUGAAAGAUGAUCAGGUAGAUAGGUUUGGAGUGGAAGUGUAGCGAUACAUGGAGCGGACAAAUACUAAUCGAUCGAGGACUUAACCAA
rnacentral:rRNA from 1 species